GAUGAACGCUGGCGGCGUGCCUAAUACAUGCAAGUCGAGCGAACAGAUAAGGAGCUUGCUCCUUUGACGUUAGCGGCGGACGGGUGAGUAACACGUGGGUAACCUACCUAUAAGACUGGGAUAACUUCGGGAAACCGGAGCUAAUACCGGAUAACAUUUGGAACCGCAUGGUUCUAAAGUGAAAGAUGGUUUUGCUAUCACUUAUAGAUGGACCCGCGCCGUAUUAGCUAGUUGGUAAGGUAACGGCUUACCAAGGCAACGAUACGUAGCCGACCUGAGAGGGUGAUCGUCCACACUGGAACUGAGACACGGUGCAGACUCCUACGGGAGGCAGCAGUAGGGAAUCUUCCGCAAUGGGCGAAAGCCUGACGGAGCAACGCCGCGUGAGUGAUGAAGGGUUUCGGCUCGUAAAACUCUGUUAUUAGGGAAGAACAAACGUGUAAGUAACUGUGCACGUCUUGACGGUACCUAAUCAGAAAGCCACGGCUAACUACGUG
rnacentral:rRNA from 1 species